CCCACAUACGGCAAGUCCGUCCUUUGUCUCUACCUGCUUCAGCCUUCUCUUCAUACAGAGCAAGGGCCAGAGCAAGUUCUCUACUCCGUGUUGACAUUUUUACAUCCAGUAAAGUUAGGUAGAAUUACUUGCAACAAAUGUAUCGUAGCAACCAAAGCAGUCGGAAAAAAUGCCGCGCCUCAAAAACGCCCGCUAGUGCUCCCUGCUGGCCGUUUUCAGAACAGCAGCAGGCGUUUUCAGCUGGCAAAAAACGCUUUGGUGGACACGGGCCCUUAAGAGUGUAGCAGGAAAAGAAGUUGCAACAACUUGAAAUACUCUGAAAUAUAAUGUACAAAUCCAGAAAAGAAACUACAUAAUCAAAGUAACAAAGUAUUUGUACAUAGUUACUUUAUACCUCUCGUUUUAUUCCAUGGGUAAUGGACAUAUUGUAACCAGUAGAAGAUGCACCAAGGAUCAAGGCAAUUUGGAGGAGGAUUGUUCUUUAUCUGCUAUGUUGCACUGUCACUUCCGGUACAGAUUCAUUAUGGUGGUAUGCUCCUAGUGUUUUCCUGUUUUCUCCCUUCCCCGUGCGUCUGUUUGUCAGCUAUCUAUCUCCUGUUCGCGUUUGUGAGCGGUGCACUACCUAGCAGGCACCUAUCAGCAGAAAGAAGAACCUCCAGAAGAACAGCCAUCUCUGCAGCAUUCCACCAAUCACGCCUGUAAGGUAAAGUGGCCAGAUGGAAGCCACUCCUCAGUAGAAGGUACAUGACAGCCGGCCUGGAGUUUGCCAAAAAGUACCUGAAGGACUCUCAGAUCAUGAGAAAAAAAAACUCUCUGGUCUGAUGAAACAAAGCGAGCGUCAUGUCUGGAGGAAACCAGGAACCGCUCAUGGAAGGGCCAAUACCAUCCCUAUAGUGAAACAUGGUGGUGGCAGAAUCAUGCUGUGGGGAUGUUUUUUAGUGGCAGGAACUGGGACAUCCUUGAUGAAAAUCUGCUCCAGAGCGCUCUGGACCUCAGACUGGGGCGAAGUUUCAACUUCCAAAAGGACAAUGACC